rnacentral:rRNA from 1 species
UAGGGAAUCUUCGGCAAUGGGGGCAACCCUGACCGAGCAACGCCGCGUGAGUGAAGAAGGUUUUCGGAUCGUAAAGCUCUGUUGUAAGUCAAGAACGGGUGUGAGAGUGGAAAGUUCACACUGUGACGGUAGCUUACCAGAAAGGGACGGCUAACUACGUGCCAGCAGCCGCGGUAAUACGUAGGUCCCGAGCGUUGUCCGGAUUUAUUGGGCGUAAAGCGAGCGCAGGCGGUUUGAUAAGUCUGAAGUUAAAGGCUGUGGCUCAACCAUAGUUCGCUUUGGAAACUGUCAAACUUGAGUGCAGAAGGGGAGAGUGGAAUUCCAUGUGUAGCGGUGAAAUGCGUAGAUAUAUGGAGGAACACCGGUGGCGAAAGCGGCUCUCUGGUCUGUAACUGACGCUGAGGCUCGAAAGCGUGGGGAGCGAACAGGAUUAGAUACCCUGGUAGUCCACGCCGUAAACGAUGAGUGCUAGGUGUUGGAUCCUUUCCGGGAUUCAGUGCCGCAGCUAACGCAUUAAGCACUCCGC